AUACAUGAAUUUUCCAAAGAAAAAUAAAAAGAAAAAAAAACGAUCAGCUCCUAUAUUAAUGAUAGUUUUAAGAGGAAAAAAAAUAACUAUUUAAAUUAUGAAUAAAUCCGUUAUUAAUUCCUAAUAUUUAGCCUUUCUCUUUUACGAUAAAGUUUUAUGAUAUUAUAUGAAAAACCCAAGUAGUAAUUUCUUAUAUUUAGCCUACAUUUUAGUUGCAGAAGUUCUAUAAUAUUUGACUUUUUCAUUCCUUUUUGAUUUAGAAGAAGUUAUAAAUUCCCAAUCUCACUCACAAAUGUUUUGUUGUCAAAGCCGCUUUGUGUUUCUCGCUAACAGGAAUUUCGGAGGUUUUCUGAAAAGGACGAAGGAGGAUUUCUCUAUGUUAAUUUUGAAGAGUAAAUACAAAAUGUUGACCGAAGUCAAACUCAUGGCAGUAAAAGCCUCUGAAAGUCUGAAAUCCCCCAAAUCACUUCCGAGUGCAUUGAAAAUCGUGUCAAACAUUCUCACAACUCGCAAAUAGCAUGAAACAACUACGGAAAAGAAAAAAGGUUCAAAGCACAUGAAAGAAGUCUCCUAAUCAGCUUGUAGUUGAUGAGGCGGUCAAUUAUGAUAACUUCAUUGUCGCACUAAAUCCGGCCACUACAGAGAAGCUUCAGCAACUCCUGAACUUUUAGAUUUUUUCGUCAAAUCUCGAAAAUUUAGGAUUUUGGUGUGGAUAAUAUUAAUUGACUUAAGAUUUAUAGUGAAUAUCACGCUGCUCUUAAAUGA